GUCAGCAGCAUACCACCCUGUAUCCCACUGCUGCCUUGCCUCUGAAGCUAAGCAGGGUUGGUCCCUGGAUGGGAGACGAGAUGCUGCUGGAA
rnacentral:rRNA from 1 species